rnacentral:snoRNA from 1 species
AGACCAUGAUGUCGGCAAUGCCUAAGUGAAUCCUUUAAUCUAUCUCAAGAUUCAUAUAGUGAUUCACCAUCAAACUUUAUGAACAAAGUGAUAACGUUCCUCAAUUU